rnacentral:rRNA from 1 species
UACGGAGGGUGCAAGCGUUGUCCGGGUUUAUUGGGUUUAAAGGGUGCGUAGGCGGCCCGUUAAGUCAUUGGUGAAAGCCUCCAGCUCAACUGGAGAACUGCCAUUGAUACUGGCGGGCUUGAGUACAGACGAGGUUGGCGGAAUUGAUUGUGUAGCGGUGAAAUGCAUAGAUACAAUCAAGAACACCGAUUGCGUAGGCAGCUAACUAGGCUGUAACUGACGCUGAUGCGCGAAAGCGUGGGGAGCGAGCCGG